GACGCACUCUCAGAGUUUGAUCCUGGCUCAGGAUUAACGCUGGCGGCGUGCAUAACACAUGCAAGUCGAACGAUGAAAUUCAUUAGACAUCUUCGGAUAGACAAAGAAUGGAAUAGUGGCGGACGGGUGAGUAACACGUGAGUAACCUGCCUUACACAAGGGGAUAGCCGUUGGAAACGACGAAUAAUACCCUAUAAAGCAAAGCUGUCGCAUGAUAGCCUUGCCAAAGUGCUUAGUGGUGUAAGAUGGACUUGCGUCUGAUUAGCUAGUUGGUGAGAUAAAAGCCCACCAAGGCAACGAUCAGUAGCCGGCUUGAGAGAGUGUACGGCCACAUUGGGACUGAGACACGGCCCAA
rnacentral:rRNA from 1 species